rnacentral:rRNA from 1 species
GUGGGGAAUAUUGGACAAUGGGCGAAAGCCUGAUCCAGCAAUGCCGCGUGAGUGAUGAAGGCCUUAGGGUUGUAAAGCUCUUUUACCAGGGAUGAUAAUGACAGUACCUGGAGAAUAAGCUCCGGCUAACUCCGUGCCAGCAGCCGCGGUAAUACGGAGGGAGCUAGCGUUGUUCGGAAUUACUGGGCGUAAAGCGAACGUAGGCGGUUACUCAAGUCAGAGGUGAAAGCCCGGGGCUCAACCCCGGAACUGCCUUUGAAACUAGGUAACUAGAAUCUUGGAGAGGUCAGUGGAAUUCCGAGUGUAGAGGUGAAAUUCGUAGAUAUUCGGAAGAACACCAGUGGCGAAGGCGACUGACUGGACAAGUAUUGACGCUGAGGUGCGAAAGCGUGGGGAGCAAACAGGAUUAGAAACCCGAGUAGUCC